rnacentral:rRNA from 1 species
AUGGGAAACCGAUUUUGCUGCUCUUCGGUCAGGCGGCAGUACCCACCAAAGAAGGAGGGUAGCCCCCCUCCCCCGGCCGAGACAUGGUCGAGAUGCUCGACGGAGAGCGUCACGGCGACGCACAACUUCGAGGUGACCGGUUUCUCGUCGCUGGAGGGCAUAGGUGCCGGUAAGUUCCUCAGGUCGGGAAAGUUCACCGUCGGCGGCUGCGAGUGGGAUCUCCACUUAUACCCCGACGGAUGGAAGGAGGAGCACAAAUCUGUCUACGCGUCGGUCUUCCUGUCUCUCUGUGAAGGAGAAACCGGGACGUCAGGGGUGACGACCAAGUACACCUUGACAUUGCUGGACCAACAUGGUAGAGUAUCCAACCUUACUACCCAGGGAUCCCAAGGUAGCCUACAACAUACUUUCCAUAGUACCACCGGCUAUUGGGGCUUUGAAAAGUUUGUCGAGAAACCAAAGCUGCGACAGCUGCUUGCCCUCACCGGGGACUCCUUCACAGUCAGAUGUGUCUUGACUGUCAUCAAAAAGGGUCAGGCAGAAGAUGUGCACACGGCCGUCGCACCGCUCCCGCAGUCCAACCUGCACAAACACUUCCUAGAUAUGUUGAAGGGUGGGGAAGGCGCGGACGUGACCUUCACCGUCGCAGGCCAGUCGUUCCUCGCGCAUAGAUGUGUGCUCGCCGCAAGGUCCCCGUUGUUUAAGGCUGAGCUCUUUGGUAAGAUGAAUGAGACUCUGGCGCAGAGCAUCAAGAUCGAUGGCAUGGAACCCUCCAUCUUCGAGGCACUCCUUCACUUCAUCUACACGGAUUCUCUGUCGGAUGACCGGCAUGCGGAUGAUAGACACACGGAGAUGCAGCACCUGCUGGUUGCCGCGGAUCGAUACGGAGUCGAUAGGUUAAUGGCGAUAUGCGAAGGGAAAUUGUGUCGAAGCAUCGGCGUGCAAACCGUCGCAACGACCCUUGCUCUAGCGGAGCAACACCACUGCAUGCACCUGAAAAGGGCAUGUCUUGAAUUUUUGUCUUCCCGGGAUGUCCGCCAAGCUGUCAAAGAAACAUAUGGAUUCAAGCAUCUCGUAACAAGCUGCCCAUCGGUUAUUCUCGAGAUUUUCGACAAGCCUCCCCCACAAUCCUGA